rnacentral:rRNA from 1 species
GUGUCAGCAGCCGCGGUAAUACGGAGGGUGCAAGCGUUGUUCGGAAUUAUUGGGCGUAAAGCGCGUGUAGGCGGUCGGGUAAGUCAGAUGUGAAGGCCUUCCGCUUAACGGGAGAAGUGCAUUUGAAACUGCUCGGCUGGAGUACGGGAGAGGAGAGUGGAAUUCCCGGUGUAGAGGUGAAAUUCGUAGAUAUCGGGAGGAACACCAGUGGCGAAGGCGGCUCUCUGGUCCGAUACUGACGCUGAGACGCGAAAGCGUGGGGAGCAAACAGGAUUAGAUACCCUGGUAGUCCACGCUGUAAACGAUGGGCACUAGGUGUAGGAGGUAUUGACCCCUUCUGUGCCGAAGCUAACGCAUUAAGUGCCCCGCCUGGGGAGUACGGCCGCAAGGCUAAAACUUAAAGGAAUUGGCGGGG